rnacentral:rRNA from 1 species
GAUGAACGCUGGCGGCGUGCCUAAUACAUGCAAGUCGAGCGAACGGACGAGAAGCUUGAUUCUCUGAUGUUAGCGGCGGACGGGUGAGUAACACGUGGAUAAAAUACCUAUAAGACUGGGAUAACUUCGGGAAACCGGAGCUAAUACCGGAUAAUAUUUUGAACCGCAUGGUUCAAAAGUGAAAGACGGUCUUGCUGUCACUUAUAGAUGGAUCCGCGCUGCAUUAGCUAGUUGGUAAGGUAACGGCUUACCAAGGCAACGAUGCAUAGCCGACCUGAGAGGGUGAUCGGCCACACUGGAACUGAGACACGGUCCAGACUCCUACGGGAGGCAGCAGUAGGGAAUCUUCCGCAAUGGGCGAAAGCCUGACGGAGCAACGCCGCGUGAGUGAUGAAGGUCUUCGGAUCGUAAAACUCUGUUAUUAGGGAAGAACAUAUGUGUAAGUAACUGUGCACAUCUUGACGGUACCUAAUCAGAAAGCCACGGCUAACUACGUG